AACGAACGCUAGCGGCGUGGAUAAGACAUGCAAGUCGAACGAGNAACCUAAUUAGCNUGCUUUGAGGGUUUCUAGUGGCGGACGGGUGAGUAACACGUGAGGACCUACCCCGAAGAGGAGGAUAGCCCGCCGAAAGGCGGAUUAAUACUCCAUGUGACCUAUGGGUUAAGGAUGGCUUCGGCUAUCGCUUUGGGAUGGGCUCGCGGCCUAUUAGUUUGUUGGUGAGGUAACGGCUCACCAAGACGAUGACGGGUAGCUGGUCUGAGAGGACGAUCAGCCACACUGGAACUGAGACACGGNCCAGACACCUACGGGUGGCAGCAGUCGAGAAUCAUUCACAAUGGACGCAAGUCUGAUGAUGUGACGCCGCGUGGAGGAUGAAGGCCUCA
rnacentral:rRNA from 1 species